GUCAGAUCCUGGUCUCUCUCGUCUCCCUCCUUUCUCUUGCCUGGGGAGGGGUGUGUGAGACAGGGUGGUAAUGUUGCCCACCCUAAAAAAAAUGAGGUCAGCUCUACACGAGGGUAGGGGUGUCUCGACGCGCCCAUUCCACACCAGCCUCCCUUCUUCAGACCCCUCAAUCAGUUCUGGACAGUUCCUGGAAGCUUGCUCAACUCUACUCCUUCACUGGCUAUUCCAUCCUUCAUUUUUCCAAGUCAGAUCUUCGCCCCUUUUUUCCCUCUUCUGAGUGGGGUUGUUCCUGUGCUGUGUACCAUUCCUACAAUUGGCUGAAUUUCUGCCAUUUGGCCAUUAUUUUUCCUUCUGUUUUCUUUUGGCCUGAGAUUUCUUCAUCUCCUUUUGUUUUAUCUUUCCCUUUUUCUCCAUUGGUUGUUUUGUGGCUCGUCUCUCUUUUCAUCUCGUUGGCUGUGUUUUCGCUCUUGUCGUCUGUUACCCACACCAUGGCCCGUCCUCUGGCUCUGGAGCCGAUAAGAGGGCAUUUGGGUGUUAAGAGUUCCCUAAAUGGGAGUGCAGACUUUGACAGACUUAGUUUUAUGGGGGAACAGCAUCCUCCACCUCCCCUCCACAGUUACCUGUGGCUAACAAUCCUCACCUGCUUCUGCCCCGCGUACCCAGUCAACAUUGUAGCUCUGGUCUUUUCAGUACUGUCCAGGAAAAGUUAUGAGUUGCAAGACUAUGACGGCUCGCGACGACUCGGUCAGAAAGCUCUCCAAGUGGCCAUCGCCUCCAUCAUCAUCGGCCUCCUCAUCAUCGCCAUAUUUAUCAUCGUUCACUUCACCACGUAUAAAUUGUAGAAGAGUUGCGCAGUAUGCCUGGAAAAAGCCAAACAAAGUAAAUGUCGCUCUCAAAGACAUGGACUAUGGACACCUCUCUGAAUGGACUAUGACAAGGGUUCUGGGGCCCCGGAUUUGGCAGUAAUCUCCAUCCUCAAGAACGGAACUCCACUCCAGAUGUGGUAUCCAUCUUUUGUCGCCGUCACACAUCCUCCACACCCAGCCUUUCUACUCUUCUAUCUGGGAGAAGAACUUAAGAAGCAAGACUCUGCUUUUGAAAGACUGUAUGGAACACUGACCUCUGGAUCACAUGAUACCCACAGCACAAACCUCGCGCACGCAUGCACGCACACAGACACACACACAGUUUUGUAUUGCUAUCUUUGUGGGGACCAAAGAAUUGAUUCCCAUCCAAAAUCCUAUUUUCCCUCACUUCUAAAUAUAAUUCUAACCUUAACCUUAAGCCUAACCUUAACCCCAAACCCUAAAACUAUACCUAACCCUAAUUGUAACACUAACCCUAAUUGCAACCCUAACGCUAAACCUAAACCCUAAGCCUACAAUAGCAUUUUUCCUCGUGGGGACCAGCAAAAUGUCCCCACUUGUCUGAAUUUUCCUUGUUUUACUAUCCUUGUGAGGACUUCUGGUAAAUAAACACACAUACACACACAUUAGAAGAGGAAGAAACACCUGCCCAUUCCUGUGUGCAUUUAUUGAUAAUGUGGGCUGUUGGACGAGUGAACAAUUACUUUUUGCAGCGGUAACUGUGUGGUCACUGUAGCACUAACAUGCUGACAAUUACUGUAUUUAUGGUGCUUUCAAGACAACCGGGAACUCUGGAAAAAUUAGGUCAAAUCAUGAUAUCAGGGAUUUUCAGGUCGGAUAGUCAGAGUUCUAGAAGGAUCCCCGAGUGUCCGAAUUGGAAUUCCGAGUUGGAUGACCAUUCAAAACUAUUUUCCCAGUCGGAGCUAUUUUUUUCCAGCUGUCUUGAAUGCACUGAACUGAAGUUGGAAGUAGGAGAUUUCCAAGUACCCAGUUGUUCUGAACGUGGCAUUAUUGUGCCACUUGGGAUGUUUGAUGUGUCAAUCACGUAACUGUCGAGUGUUUACUGUCAUAAAUGUCUUUUGCUUUUUUACUUGAUAUUACACCUGCCAAAUAUGUACAGUGCAUUCUGAAAGUAUUCAGACCCCUUCCCUUUAUCCACAUUUUGUUAUGUUAAAGCCUUAUUAUAAAAUGUCCUCCUCAAUCUACACACAAUACCCCACUAUGACAAUAUGAAAACAGGUUUUAUUUUUGCAAAUGUAUUACAAACAAAAAUCAGACCUUAUUUACAUAAGUAUUCAGACCCUUUGCUAAGAGAUUCAAAAUUGAGCUCAGGUGCAUCCUGUUUCCAUUUAUCAUCCUUGAGAUGUUUUACAACUUGAUUGGAGUCCACCUGUGGUAAAUUCUACUGAUUGGACAUGAUUUGGAAAGGCACACACACUCCCAUAGUUGACAGUACAUUUGAGAGCAAAGACCUGUCUAUAUGAGGUCUCACAGUUGACAGUGCAUGUCAGAGCAAAACCAAGCCAUGAUGUUGAAGGAAUUCUCUGUAGAGGUCCGAGACAGGAUUAUGUUGAGUUACACAUUUAGGGAAGGGUACUAAAAGACGUCUGCAGCAUUGAAGGUCCCCAAGAACACAGUGGCCUCCAUCAUUCUUAAAUGGAAGAAGUUUGUUACCACCAGGACUCUUUCUAGAGCUGGCUACCUGGCCAAACUGAGCAAUCUGGGGAGAAGCGCAUUGGUCAGGGAGGUGACCAAGAAUCUGAUGGUUACGCUGACAGACCUGAGUUCCUUUGCGGAGAUGGGAGAACCUUCCAGAAGGACAACCAUCUCUGCAGCACUUCACCAAUCAGGCCUUUAAGGUAAAGUGGCCAGACGGAAGCCACUCCUUAGUAAAAGGCACAUGACAGCCUGCUUGGAGUUUGCCAAAAGGCACCUAAAUGACUCAGACCAUGAGAAACAAGAUUCUCUGGUCUGAAGGAACCAAGAUUGAAAUAUUUAUCCUGAAUGCCAACCGUUACAUCUGGAGGAAACCUGGCACCAUCUCUAUGGUAAUACAUAGUGGUGGCACCAUCUCUAUGGUAAUACAUAGUGGUGGCACCAUCUCUAUGGUAAUACAUAGUGGUGGCACCAUCUCUAUGGUAAUACAUAGUGGUGGCACCAUCUCUAUGAUAAUACAUAGUGGUGGCACCAUCUCUAUGGUAAUACAUAGUGGUGGCACCAUCUCUAUGGUAAUACAUAGUGGUGGCACCAUCUCUAUGGUAAUACAUAGUGGUGGCACCAUCUCUAUGGUAAUACAUAGUGGUGGCACCAUCUCUAUGGUAAUACAUAGUGGUGGCACCAUCUCUAUGGUAAUACAUAGUGGUGGCAGCAUCAUGCUGUGGGGGUGUUUUUCAGCGGCAGGGAGAGGGAAACUAAUCAGGAUCGAAAGAUGAAUGGAGCAAAGUACAAAGAGAUCCUUGAUGAAAACCUGCUUCAGAGUGCUCAGGACCUCAGACUGGGAGCAGACGGUUCACCUUCCAACAGGACAACGACCCUAAGCACACAGCCAAGACAAUGCAGGAGUGGCUUUGGGACAAGUCUCUGAAUAUCCUUAAGUGGCCCAGCCAGAGCCCGGACUUGAACCCGAUCAAACAUCUCUGGAGAGACCUGAAAAUAGCUGUGCAGCGACCUUACCCAUCCAACCUGACAGAGCUGGAGAGGAUCUCCAGAGAAGAAUGGGAGAAACUCCCCAAAUACAGGUGUGCCAAGCUUGUAGCGUCAUAUCCAAGAAGACUUGAGGCUGUAAUCGCUGACAAAGGUGCUUUAACAGAGUACUGAGUAAAUAAUACUCAUGUAAAUGUGAUGUCAGUUGUUUAUUUUUUACAAAUUUAAAAGCAAAAACCUGUUUUUGCUUUGUCAUUAGAGUACUGUGUGUAGAUUGAUGAGGGAAAAAAAGAUUGAAUCAAUUUUAGACUAAGUCUGUAACGUAAUAAAAUGUGUAAAAAGUCAAGGGGUCUGAAUAUUUUCCCAAUGCACUGUAUGUGUAGGACUGUUUUCUUCUCAUGUAAAAAAAAAACUAAACAGAAUGCAAAUACAGGAAUAACAACUUUAUACCGACAGAAUGUAACAUUAGAAUAGCUACAUAAUAAAGAUGAAUUAGUAACAAAUGUCUUUAAAAAAACUAAGAUUUGGGUUUAUGUUCAUGUUUGCCAUUGACAGGGCAUAUGAAGGGUUUAGGAGUUGUUCUGAGAGGUGUUUAGUUUUGGUCACAGAUAGCUCAGGUUGAACACAGAUGGUCUUAAUUACUGCCCACAACCUGCUCUGGCCCUCAUUCACCCAUCUCCCAUUCCCCCUGGCUCUCCCCUAGUCCCCUGCAAUCUGCCGAGUCGGAAGGAUCCUGUAGUUUGAUAUGUAACAGUAUCACCCAUCACUGGCUAAAUAUAGGGACAGAUGUCCCCCUGUGUGCUGGUGUUGGGCUGCAUGACACGCUAGCCUGCUGUGUUCUGCCAAGUGUAGCUCACAUGGACAAGAGCUGACUCAGCUACUACCUGUUGAGUCCCACUAUCACACUGGCUCGUUUUGGACUAACCCCUUUUAAACAUUGUGUGUUUGAGCUACAGUCUUCCAGUUGUACCAUUGGAUUUGUCUAUUCUUCUGUAUCCGCUGAUACCAACCAUUAGUAUGUGUGAUUAACAGGGGCUGAGUUAGAGCAGUGAUUGUGAGACAAGCGCAGAAGGGGUCUGAGGCGGGGUCAAGGGGCGGUUCUUCUCAUAAAAAAACGUCUGUAGAGUCCGAAUGGUGAACUACAAACUAUUAUGAACCAUCUAUGAAGAGCUGAGACUCUGACGUUUUGCUCUAUGGCGCUCACAAGCUACACAACAGUCCUUAGAAGGACACCUUCGGCCUGGACUGGCAGUCUUUCGUGUCCGACCAGAGGGAGGAGACCAAUACGGGCCAUUCAUCUGAACCAUGUGCAACCUUGCCCCUAACGACCUUCAGACCGCUCCCAGAUGCAACUCAUGGGUGGUUGCCCUGAUGACGAACUGGGGCUGUGGAGUUGAGUGGCGAUCCGAGAGCAGAGGACCGAGAGAGGCAUUGGUACGACACAACACCGGAGGCGGGUCCAUUGGUGACAUCGCCAAGCAGAGUCUCAGACCAGGCGUGCUCCAGGACAGGGAGCUAUGCGGAUCUGGAUAUCACCAUACAGAGACGUUUAUUUUACUUUGUGGGGAUAUGGUUCUUGUUGGGCCCUAGAAAUCGAGAAUCUAUCCCAACCCUUUCUGUAUGUUGUCUUGUCUGUCUUUCACGCUCCUUAUUUUGUCCCAUACUAGUAGAGUCCUUCAAAGGGGUUGGCAGAGUCGAGCAGGGCCAAGGGUUGGUCCCAUAUUGUAUGCAGCACCAGAGCGACAUUGUAGUGCCUUUCACCAUAUUGUUUGCAGUGCCUUCCAUUAGAAUAACUAUCUUGUUGCAGUGCCAUAUCAGAAUAAUUCAGAUUGCAGUGUGUCCCUUUUGCAUGCCCGCUAUUUACCUGAGAGAGUCAGACGGAGGAUAACCUACCUGAGUGGAGGCUCUAUUGUGUCCAAUCCAUGUUAACCCAUGAAUUUAAAAUGACUUACCUUGAGCAUACUUACCUGUCCUGGUCUUGUGUGUUGGGGUUGUGUGCUGGAGAAUAUUAAAUUAUCAAGUCUACUCCUGCAACUCCCCUCCGGCAUACAAUGUCGCCAGAGUACUAACCACCGGUCCUGGGAAUCAUCAUUACGCACACCUGGUACUCAUCAUUACACACACAUGUGAAUCAUUAUGAUUCAUACCUGGACUCCAUUACCUUCCUAAUUUCCUCAUAUUUGUAUGUCAGUCUCCCAUUUUCACUCACCAGUUGGUAUUGUUCUUGUUUAUCGGCAUACUGCCUUAUGUUAGUGUCGUGUUCUUAGUUUUGUUGUUUGAUUAAAACGUUUCACCUGCACCUGCUUCCGACUCACCGCCCCAUCAUUACAUACAUCCUGUGUUGGGUGGUUGACACUAAACUGUGACAUUUCCUAUCUUAAUUUGACCAGUUUCUCAGAGGAGGAAAAUAAUCCUGCAGCAACAGGUAAUUAUUAUGUGGUUUAUAAUGAAUUGACAAUUUUGUAGGAGUUGAUACAUUUUUCAUUUGGGCAAAUCUAUUUUAAAGUGGAAAAUAUCAACUUUAGAAGCCUUUUUAAAGCUUGAAUAGCCUGCAAGUUUGCAUUUCCUGCUGUGCAAAUUAAGAUAUGACAUCUGUACAUAGGAAGGGAUAAAUGUCUUAUAAAAAUUAUGGCACACUGGUAAACAGUUCCCACCCCACAUCCGAGUGUCGUCCACUGUCUAAACCCUCGGGAUAGAGAAAUUAUAUCCAUGAGCUCAGUGCUUGAAAGGAACUUUAACUAACUUCCUGGUUCAGACACCACAUCACAAAUAGACACACCUCAGGCACUCGAAAUGAAAACAGUUUUUAGACAAAUCGGUGUGAUUGAUGUUUCUUUGGAACUCCUGGGUUUGUGAUGUGGAACUGGCAGUAAACAGAAACCUGAGACAUGGGAUCUGCUGCUGCUCCAUGCACAUAUGCUUCCUGUGCCAGAGGCAACUUAGACUGACAGGGAGUUGUGUUGUCUUCAUUCGGAUUGAACCACCAAAACGUAAUUGUUCACUCAGAAAUGUGACAAAGGUUGCCGCCGAAAAGUGUCUUUGUUUUGACCUCUGUUGCAAAGAAAUAAGCAACUAAAUCUUUCCCUCCUUCUAGUACAUGCCUUUUGAACCUAGCACCCACAUUUAUUUUACUACAAAUAUUUGAGCUGAGCAUGCCAAUUUCUCUUUCUAUCACUGUGACUUGUUCCUCAUACAUGUAAUUUCAGUAAUCUGUAGUUUCUCAUAUUCAAGUAAAAAAUAAAGAUUGAAUUGCU
ensembl:lncRNA